rnacentral:lncRNA from 1 species
CAUUCACUGAAACCUAAGUAGCUACAUCUUUACCAUACCUUAACUUCUCUCUGGAGUACAAAAAGCAUAUAAUGUCCAUUUGGGUCACCCAGGAAUGAGCCCACAGUCGCUUUUCCCCCUGUUUUAAGUUUCUUCAGCACAAAAGCGCUUUCAUCAUGCAAAGCGCUUCUGUAGCCGUGAUUCUCAGAUUCUAUCCUCUUCCCCCGCGAUGACCUACGAACUCACGCGAGGACGCGGACGAUGAUUGGUCGGUGACUAACCUGUAGUGUUGCCAGUCCCCCGAGAACGACGCAAAACGAAAAUAACUGCUUAAUCUGACAUAGUGAACAUUGUGAGGGACAAAAAUGUUGUGUAGUCUGAGCUUGGCAUAACACUAACUUUACCUGGUGCAGAUGCGCUCACUGCACUGCCGUGCUGACUGCAACCGAGUGGAUUUGCUGUCAGGAGGCUAACGUGAACCAUUUGCUCUGAUAUCGUCCCUGCAGAACCCUGAGCAGAACUUUUCAGAUGCUUUUCCAAGAGCGAGAAGUUUUGGAGGUGUCUAUACUCUCUCUACGUGAGUUCCGUGCAGAAACCCUGGAGCCCGUCAACAGCAGUGCUCUCGCUCAUCAUGUUGUGGGUUGAAGGAAGCUCUCUGUGGAAGAGCUGCAGAGAUCUCACUUCCCAGAGCUGCACUGUGGGUGCUGGGUGUCACAUGACAGCAGAUCUAGUAAGAGGGUGGAGUUUCAGCCAGAGUGUCAGGCACGGGGAACUGUCCGAUUCGAAAGUUCUGAAACACACGUCGGUGAACAACUGAGGAAGAACUGCACGCACACCCAAGUGGAAGCUGCUGGUGCUGUAGAGAGGACAGAUUGAGAGGAGGGUCUCUGAGGCUACCCCCAGCAGCUGUUGUAAUUCAUGUUUGUGAGAUGUGUGUUCAUGUAAUUCGUGUCUGAGAGUGUGUUGAUGUGCGUCGACGCCGCUCCCAGCGUGAGGGCUGAGUUUUGCGUCGUCUCAGUGUGACCCCCCCCUACCUAUUGACCAUGUUGCACAUUAUAAAUCAAAGGCGGCCGUGGCACUCCUGCAAGUGGCUAAUGAAGGCUCAUUUUUAACAUCGCUAAAUGGUCCUGACAAAAACUCUAAUGAGGAAAUCAAUAAUUUAGCGAUUGUUGCUCUGCUUAUACUAAUACAUCCCACUUGUUGGGUUGGAAUCCAGCAAAGGAGAGGCCAUUUUUUACUGUUCCGUUUCUGCACGUCAGCAUGUUUUAUUUUUUUUUUCUUCUUCUCAGAGGCCUUAGAUUAAUCUUCUCUAGGAGUUUGUGACUGAUGGUCAGAUUUUUGCCAAUUUUAUAAAUGAUAUUAAAAAGUGGUUAAAUAUACUAAAAAAAGUAAAUUGGCUUAUGAGCAUAACACAUCCACUUGGAACAAAAUACAAAAUAAGAUGCUGAGGUGGCCACUUUCUUGCUAGUUUGCUUUUACGAACAGUAGAUUGAUGGUAAGAGAGCAUUUCUUGUGUAGGAUCUUUUCUGAAGUUUUUGAGACAACACUCCCAUUAAAAAAAAAGGAAUAACCCACUCAGAUUCUUGCAAAACUUGUGUGAAAAUAAUUACAGUUGUGAUCUGAUUGGACAGUACACUCUUAAAUGCUACUUUUGGGUAGCGUACCUCUUGGUGAAAGAUAUAUAGACAUGCAUGUAAAACACUCUCAAAGACACGUCUUUAAACUGAGAGAAGCAGGAUGGUCAUUUAGACGAAUUGCCCAUUUUCUUUACUGUCCAUCCUUUUUAAAUGUGAAAAUCUAUGCACUGGAUUAUAA